CGGGGCGUCAUAGAGGGUGAGAAUCCCGUCUGUGACCGGCGAUCAAGCCCGUGUGAAAGUCCUUCGACGAGUCGAGUUGUUUGGGAAUGCAGCUCAAAAUGGGUGGUAAAUUUCAUCUAAAGCUAAAUACCGGCCAGAGACCGAUAGCGCACAAGUAGAGUGAUCGAAAGAUGAAAAGCACUUUGGAAAGAGAGUCAAACAGUACGUGAAAUUGUUGAAAGGGAAGCGCUUGCGACCAGACCUGCUUCCGGGCGAUCAGCCGUCCUUCUGGGCGGUGCACUCGCCCGUAGACAGGCCAGCAUCGGUUUCGGCGGCCGGAUAAAGACCUCGGGAAUGUGGCUCCUCUCGGGGAGUGUUAUAGCCCUUGGUGCAAUGCGACCUGCCGGGACCGAGGACCGCGCUUCGGCUAGGAUGCUGGCGUAAUGGUCGUAAGCGGCCCGUCUUGAAACACGGACCAAGGAGUCUAACAUCUAUGCGAGUGUUUGGGUGUUAAACCCAUGCGCGGAAUGAAAGUGAACGGAGGUGGGAACCCAUUAGGGCGCACCAUCGACCGAUCCAGAUGUCUUCGGAUGGAUUUGAGUACGAGCAUAGCUGUUGGGACCCGAAAGAUGGUGAACUAUGCCUGAAUAGGGUGAAGCCAGAGGAAACUCUGGU
rnacentral:rRNA from 1 species